UAGCUGCCCUCUCUCCUUGCUCAGCGCUGUGCAAACAAUAAAAGUCCUACUUUCUUCCACCACACCCGGUGUCAGAGAUUGGUUUGCUGCGCAACGGGUGAGUGAACUCACUUCAGGUUUGGUAACAAUUGGGCGACCCAGAUGGGACUGUGUCCUAGGUGGAUGUCUGGCCUGUGGCACACCAGCCUCUGGCUAAAGGCCUCUCUUGGAAACUGUCCUGCAGCUGCCUGAGCCCCUUGUCUCAGGGACAGCCCCAAGUGGCUGGCUGCUAGCCAGACGUCGUUGGCCCACGGCGCUUUUGCUUUGGUGGUGGAAGAAACUAGGUUUAGGACUUAGGAAGACGUCUCUUGACACAAUUGGAAACACUGGUUAUAUUACCAAGGCUUUGACUGGAACAUCAUAUUUGAAAAAACAUACAGGCUUGGAUAUAACAAGACAGCUUUUUGAGGAAUGAAGGUUGACAUUCUGGAGUAAAGCCACUUGGAAAUAUUGGCCUGAAAAACUUCUUAAUAAAUACCUGGUUACUUACUUACAUGAUACAGGCCUAACUUUGGGA